CUGUGGCUUGCCCAGCUGCAGCAGCAGCCCUGCUCUGCUGGCUGCCCUCUGCCAGGGUAGAGGAGUUGGCCAAGCCAUGGUGGCUGCCCUGACAGAAAGCAUGGUCACCCCACUAUCCCCAUGGCUGCCCCAGCCAGCCCAUUGUUAUUAAAAUCAUUUCUGUGGAUAUGCUUCCAUGUAACUUGGUCCUUUAGCCACCAUCAGUUUGAAGUGCUGUCCAGUGGUGACUGUUUACCCUGUCUGUUGAUAUCACUGCCCAUGGGCACUCACAGCCCAUGGAAAUGGGUAGAGAAAAGUCUUGAUGGGGCAACAUGGCAGCUGGGAGGGCAGAAGACAUCGUUGGAGUCAGAAACAGAAACAGCUUUUUCUGAAAGCUUUAAAAGAAGCUCUGUCAACUGUUAUUUCAAGUCAUCAGGUUGUCCUUCAGACUCAAGGCUGAUGCACUGA
rnacentral:lncRNA from 13 species